AUAAGAAGAUACAUAAAGAUAUUUCAUUUUGUUCAAAUCAAUAGACAACAGAGCAGAUAUGACCAUUUCCUUAGUUGGGUCAAGGAAAAGUCCAACUGAGGCUAUAAGCUGAUUGUGGCGAUGUGUUCAGAACCAGCGGUGAUGAGAUUUAUUUAGUAGUGAUUCGAUUGCUAAGAUUGAAAGUUGGCUGGUGGGAGUGGGCAUAUACAGUUAUGGAAUGAAAUUUUACAGACUCGACAUUCUAUCCUAUAUUGUAGUUUUUGAGAAAAGAUCCUAUAUUGCAAGUUGCAUGGGAAGAUUAACAGCUGUCAGAGAAGUAAAUAAAGGCUGUCCUGCAGUGUUCCUUGGGGCUCCAAAAUUAAUGUGGGCGGCAGCCGGGGCCUCUGACAUGCGAAUCCGUCCAUACCCCUGGCCGGAUCUACAUGGGUGGAUCUGGCUGCAGAGGUGCGCGGUGUGGAGGUAGUCCUAGCAUGGCAGCGAUGGUGCGGUGUUGAUGAGGAGCAUGCUGUACGAUUGCUGCUGUGCUCGGCCCUGCGGUGGACAGCAACUGCAACUGCAACAUCAGGAGAUACUUUGCUUAGCCAUGGAUCGGGUCAUGGCCUUGUGGUGGUAUGAUUCGGCAGAACCUUUUUUUCGUGGUAUUUUUCAUAUGAAAGCAAAAUAUUCAAAUAAAAGAUACAAUGACCACUAGUGUUUCAAUUAAAAAGUGGAUAAAAAAUUGCAACACCUGAUAAGAUUUGCAUUUGAAAGUUAUAUAUAGAUUCAUGAUAUCAUAAAAAAAGAUACAACAAGAAAUUAUAAUAGGUUUCCACUAAAUACAUAGUCGAUGUCAUAAAAAAAGAUACGACCAUUUACUCAGUUGGGUAAGGAAAAGCCCAAUCUCUAUCAUGCCGCCGAAAUAUGAUGCCCCGGCCCAAUUAUUACUGGCAUUCACGGUAUCUUCUCAUUUUCGUAUCUUCUUAUAGGAGAACCCCACUAAAAUAUUUUUAUAGCAUCUCCUCAAGCCACGUCAUCCAUUUUAUUUGGAGCCGCCAUUCAGCAACUGAACAAGCUUUCUUUGGAGUCGCGCUUCCUCUUUGCCCAUGAACUGAACAGGCACAAAAAUUAUUGUCUCAUUGAUUCUACCGCAACAAAUGCAUAAGAAAAUGAACGGUCAUCCUUGCAGUCGAGUUUAAAUAUCUCUGCUCCGCCUUGACUACGGUCGCCACCCAUCCUGCUUCACCUCGAAUGUGUCCCCUACUCAACAGCGCCUCACCACAUCGCGCCGCCUCCGUCGUGCUUCUGCUCAGCCAUUACGACGUCCCGGUAGGAUAUAGCACUCCACCUCGGUUGUCUUGAGGGUAGUGCCAAGAACAUGAUGGUCUCCAGGGGCCAGCAUUACCUCUGCUGAGCUCUCCCAUGACCUUUCGUCGGUGCUAGUAGUGCCUGCGGAGCUUUGCACGUGCCCCCGAUAGAGUUCCCGUCGCAAACUCCGGUGCCAAACUCUGGCGGUGGCGGCAAUUUAGACGGCUUUUCAUUUUGCAUGGAUGAAGCUUUUGACUACCGGAAGAUGAUAAUGUCGUAUUAUCCAUGGAACCACAUUUUUUAUUUUUUGGCAACCAACUUAUGAGGUUCUGCAUAAUCAUGCCCAGUUUUUGGUGCCCCCCAAAUCUCUCAAUUUUUGAAACUAUGUCUCCAGCUACUAGACAUUUAUUAUAGUGCUGCACUUCUUUUCACAAGGUAAGAUACUUCCUAUCGCGCCUCGAAUUAAAUAAUGUUACAAUGCAAACCAAAAUUUUUUUGCCUCUAAAA